rnacentral:rRNA from 1 species
UGGGGAAUUUUGGACAAUGGGCGAAAGCCUGAUCCAGCAAUGCCGCGUGUGUGAAGAAGGCCUUCGGGUUGUAAAGCACUUUUGUCCGGAAAGAAAUCCUUGGCUCUAAUACAGUCGGGGGAUGACGGUACCGGAAGAAUAAGCACCGGCUAACUACGUGCCAGCAGCCGCGGUAAUACGUAGGGUGCAAGCGUUAAUCGGAAUUACUGGGCGUAAAGCGUGCGCAGGCGGUUUGCUAAGACCGAUGUGAAAUCCCCGGGCUCAACCUGGGAACUGCAUUGGUGACUGGCAGGCUAGAGUAUGGCAGGAGGGGGGUAGAAUUCCACGUGUAGCAGUGAAAUGCGUAGAGAUGUGGAGGAAUACCGAUGGCGAAGGCAGCCCCCUGGGCCAAUACUGACGCUCAUGCACGAAAGCGUGGGGAGCAAACAGGAUUAGAUACCCUGGUAGUCCAGCGCCCUAAACGAUGUCAACUAGUUGUUGGGGAUUCAUUUCCUUAGUAACGUAGCUAACG